rnacentral:lncRNA from 1 species
AUGCUGCUGCAGGCCUACCUGCAGACUCUGUUUCCCCGGCUGCAGGGGGUACAGAGGAGCUCCUCCGGAAAGCGAUGGAGGUGGCUCGCCUGCUUUGCCUGCUCCAGAGGGAUGUGGCCCGCUCCAACGUACGGGCCAUGGUGCAGGUGUGUACCUCCCGGCGCCAUCUCUGGCUGGCCCAAUCCCGCUGCUGUCCAGAGCACAUUUGUCACUCUCCCCAUCACCCCAGGGCUGACCUUUGGCACAGGGGUUAAUGACAUUCUGGAGCAGACCGAUAAGGUUCGUAUGGACCGGGAGACCCUGAGAUGGUUCAUGCCGCCUCCUCAGGCCCCGGGUCCAAGGCAGACGGACCGUUGCCACCACCUGCACCAGAAUGACGGUGGGGUCCCUCUCCUGCCCCAUCGCCUCGUGCUGAGGAACGACAGCGGGGAGGGGCACAGUGUGCGGUGGAACAACAACUUGUCAACCGUCACCGCCAUAGGGAUGUGCCUGGGGGACCCAGGCGCCAGAGGAAAGGCGGGCCCCGGCAGGACCCCUGACACACCCUUCCCCAGCCUGGUCUCAAAGGGCAAAGUGGGAGGAGUGUGUGGAGUCCCUAUGGGUGUUGUCCACAAUGCUCGAAGGGUACCAACUCCAAUUCCGCUGUCGGCCCCCGUCCUUCAGGGGCCUUCUUGUCACCACAGUGGCCGACCCCCUGAAGAUAACCCUGCGGCUGGAGAUCUCCUCACUCCUGGACAAGGGUGCCAUCCGCAGGAUCGAGAGUUCAGAACCAAAAAUAACCAAAAAGAGUCAAGAGGGUUUAGACCGAUUCUGGACCUCCGCAACCUCAAUGGGUACUUAAAGCUACUGAGGUUUCACAUGCUGUCCCCAGUCCGUGUGUUGCAGGCCGUGUCCAGGGACCAGUGGUUUGUGAUGCUGGACCUGAGGAAUGUGUAUUUCCAUGUUCCUGUUUACCCAGCUCAUUGGCAGUACCUCCUAUUCGCUUUCGAAGGGAGGGCUUAUGAAUUCAUGGUUCUUCCCUUUGGCCUCUCCUUGGCACCCCGUACUUUCACAAAGCGCAUGGACGCUGUCCUGGCACCUCUCACGUCCUGA